AUACUUACCUGGCAGGGGAGAUACCAUGAUCACGAAGGUGGUUUUCCCAGGGCGAGGCUUAUCCAUUGCACUCCUCAUUUAUUUUAUGUGGCAAGAAAUAUCUCAAAAUUUUUGUAAAACUGUAAUGAGAC
rnacentral:snRNA from 1 species